rnacentral:lncRNA from 1 species
CGCAAAGACAUCACUCCCGAUAGGCCUCGGGAGUGGAAGCCAGGUGCCUUGUGGGAGAUGUAGUUCUUCAGGCGCGGGAGAAGCGGCCCUCGGCCAGCGGGGGACUCGGUUUCCCAAAGGGCUGAGCGCGGCUCAAGAUGGAGGCAGCCAGGCCGAAGUGAGCCGCCAGUCACCGAGCCGCUGAGCAGAGCCGUGCCCCGCGGGCCUUUGCCACCAAGAACCUUCGUCAGCAUUCACCCCACCUGCCCUCCAGCGUCCAGCAGGUGCCCAUCAGACAGGGAGGUGUGGCGUGGCU